rnacentral:rRNA from 1 species
GAUGAACGCUGGCGGCGUGCCUAAUACAUGCAAGUCGAGCGAACAGACGAGGAGCUUGCUCCUCUGACGUUAGCGGCGGACGGGUGAGUAACACGUGGAUAACCUACCUAUAAGACUGGGAUAACUUCGGGAAACCGGAGCUAAUACCGGAUAAUAUAUUGAACCGCAUGGUUCAAUAGUGAAAGACGGUUUUGCUGUCACUUAUAGAUGGAUCCGCGCCGCAUUAGCUAGUUGGUAAGGUAACGGCUUACCAAGGCAACGAUGCGUAGCCGACCUGAGAGGGGGAUAGGCCACACUGGAAAGGAGACACGGGGCAGACUCCUACGGGAGGCAGCGGUAGGGAAUCUUCCGAAAUGGGCGAGAGCCUGACGGAGCAACGCCGCGUGAGUGAUGAAGGUCUUCGGAUCGUAAAACUCUGUUAUUAGGGAAGAACAAAUGUGUAAGUAACUAUGCACGUCUUGACGGUACCUAAUCAGAAAGCCACGGCUAAAUACGUG